UACGUAGGGGGCGAGCGUUGUCCGGAAUUAUUGGGCGUAAAGAGCUCGUAGGCGGUCUGUUGCGUCUGCUGUGAAAACUCGGGGCUUAACCCCGAGCCUGCAGUGGAUACGGGCAGACUAGAGGUAGGUAGGGGAGAAUGGAAUUCCCGGUGUAGCGGUGAAAUGCGCAGAUAUCGGGAGGAACACCGGUGGCGAAGGCGGUUCUCUGGGCCUUACCUGACGCUGAGGAGCGAAAGCGUGGGGAGCGAACAGG
rnacentral:rRNA from 1 species